rnacentral:rRNA from 1 species
CGCUGGCGGCGUGCUUAACACAUGCAAGUCGAACGGGAUCCAUCGGGCUUUGCUUGGUGGUGAGAGUGGCGAACGGGUGAGUAUGCGUGACCGACCUGCCCCAUGCACCGGAAUAGCUCCUGGAAACGGGUGGUAAUGCCGGAUGCUCCAUCACACCGCAUGGUGUGUUGGGAAAGCCUUUGCGGCAUGGGAUGGGGUCGCGUCCUAUCAGCUUGAUGGCGGGGUAACGGCCCACCAUGGCUUCGACGGGUAGCCGGCCUGAGAGGGCGACCGGCCACAUUGGGACUGAGAUACGGCCCAGACUCCUACGGGAGGCAGCAGUGGGGAAUAUUGCACAAUGGGCGCAAGCCUGAUGCAGCGACGCCGCGUGAGGGAUGGAGGCCUUCGGGUUGUAAACCUCUUUUGUUAGGGAGCAANGCAUUUUUUGUUGAGUGUACCUUUCGAAUAAGCACCGGCUAACUACGUGCCAGCAGCCGCGG